rnacentral:lncRNA from 14 species
CAUAGGGUCAGAACUGGACCCCCGUAUGCACCGCACAAGAGGCCAGGAAGCCAUCCUCUGCAAAUCUGUGCAAGUCCUUCAGAGGAGCCAGGUUUCUAGAGGCUCUGUCACAAGGAAGAGAGAUUUUGAGCAGGUGAAUUAGAGAGAUACGAUGAGGCAAAACAGAACUGUUACCAUUACAAUGCAAAUCUACAAAUCUGUAGAAAUCCCUGGAACGGGAAAGACCUAGCAUCCUUCCCAAAUCAACAGAACUUUCCUGAUG